AGCAGUGUCAGGAGACAGCCCAGGCCUGCUGUAGUUGGGUAUGACCAGAGCACAACAAGCCUGCUGCUGGGGCUCAAGCCCAGACUGAAGUGAACCCUUCACCUAGUGAUCCACUGAAGUCACCGGCUAAGGGCCCAUGCAAAGUAGGAUCCACCAAGUGUUCACAUCUGUGUGUGGGCAAAGGCACAUGUGCUUGCUUCGAUGGCUACAAACUCAAACCAGACC